GGUGUCUAAAGGAGACAGUUGAUAGCCAAACAACAGUUUUGGAUUCACUGACUGAUUAUGAAAGAAGCAGUAGACUGGUAUCAAGAAUCAGUCAGGUUUUUGGAAUCCUUAGGCUUCCACGUGUGGAAAGCCUGAGCUAACCUACUGGAGGAUGAGCCAUCACCUGGAGCAGAUUCAGGCCAUCCUAGUUGAAGCCUCCCUAGGCCAAGCAACCGUCCAACUACCAGCCAUUGACCAUUCAGCCUUGAACAUUCAGCACAAAGACAAAACAGACCAGACCAGAAGAGUCCCACAGAAUAGGGGAAACUAUUCAGAGAAAACUUAAGCCACUAAGUUUUAUGGUGUUUUGUUCUGUAGCAGAAGCAUACUGACAAUACAAACCGAAAUCCUUCUAAUGUAGUGGGCCUUUUCAGGCCAGCAUUUUUUCCUUGAAAACCUGGAGCAUGUAUCCAUCUUAUAGCAGAGAUCACUUUCACAAUGUUUGGG
rnacentral:lncRNA from 1 species